rnacentral:rRNA from 1 species
GACGAACGCUGGCGGCGUGCUUAACACAUGCAAGUCGAACGGAAAGGCCCUGCUUUUGUGGGGUGCUCGAGUGGCGAACGGGUGAGUAACACGUGAGUAACCUGCCCUUGACUUUGGGAUAACUUCAGGAAACUGGGGCUAAUACCGGAUAGGAGCUCCUGCUGCAUGGUGGGGGUUGGAAAGUUUCGGCGGUUGGGGAUGGACUCGCGGCUUAUCAGCUUGUUGGUGGGGUAGUGGCUUACCAAGGCUUUGACGGGUAGCCGGCCUGAGAGGGUGACCGGCCACAUUGGGACGGAGAUACGGCCCAGACUCCUACGGGAGGCAGCAGUGGGGAAUAUUGCACAAUGGGCGGAAGCCUGAUGCAGCAACGCCGCGUGCGGGAUGACGGCCUUCGGGUGGUAAACCGCUUUCGCCUGUGACGAAGCGUGGGUGACGGUAAUGGGUAAAGAAGCACCGGCUAACUACGU